CACAGCGCCAGGGGCAUGGUCCAAAAAAUUGUACUUAAUCUUGUAAUUACUGAUGCGUGUGUCAGAAUGUCAUUUCCCAUUCCCUUCAAAAGUCGGGUGCACUGGCAACUUGGUGGAUAACUAUUAUAACGGCAGUUUUUCCAAGUAAAAAAAACGGAGGAAACGGAUCUGGUGGAAAACACUUGUGAAUGGGAGAAUGGCUCCACACUCCUCACAUUCUUCAUGCUGCCAGAGCUGCAGAUUACUGCAGAGGAACAUUCUACUCUGGACCAGGAUGCAGGUAACACUUCCGAGAGAGAUCUACACACAUGUGGAUACUCAGCCGGCAAAGCCAAACCAAGCCUGGAGGGCUGAACAACAACUGGAGCAGACGGCGAAUGUUCAGAAACCCUGCAGAGCUGACUGUAACCCACAAUACCAGGUGGUUCCUUCUAUAUGCCCCAACGUCUACAUUUCAGCUCCGAAUUCUAUUUGAAAUAAAAAUGACCUUAAAAAGGGAUGAAAAAGCAGGAGCUGAGAACAACAACGGGAAAAAAAGAAGAUGAUGGUGAAACGAUGAUGGAGGAGGGAAUGAUGGGGCCACGAGGCAGCAAAUCGAUGAGGAACAGAUACAGAUAUAACAAUCGAAUUUGGAAAAUGUGGCUGCGGAGGAGAAACAACAGGAAGCGGGGGCCUGAAGAUCAUGGAAACAUAUCAGUCAUUUAAAUGAAUGAUCCUUCUUGCGGUGCUCAAAGCACCGAGGCCGCAGCAGGAAAGUCACUGCAGCUGAUUGAAAAUGAACAGAACAGGAAGCCUGCGACAGCACAGAAUCAUAAUAAAAUUAGGACCCAGAGAUUGCUACAUUACUCUUCCCAGCAUCAUGAAAUACAAGAGAUGAGAUUUCGCCCCCUUUCCUUCUUUUUUAUUUUACCAUUUGCCUGCUGCUCUACACCACUGUGAAACAAAGCCCCUGUAUUUCCAUCUCUAUGAGAAAGAUGCCUCGAUUCCACGUAAAUAUGGUUUUAAGCAUCCAAAACAGCUAUGUAUCUUAAAUUGGUAAAAUAUUUACCAGCUCACGGAAACUGAUAAAAGGAAACAUUGACAAAAAUCUCUGCCACUACUACAGAAGAGCCUUUUAAAAGUUUUAACAUCUUUCCCCUUUAAGUGCUGCACAACAAUUCUUUUGUGUGUUUAUGCAUUUCUUUGGAGUUUGUGUCUGUUAAUGAGAACAAACAUACUUCCAUGACAUGCCAAAGUGCCUGUUGAAGCCGCCUGAGAUGAACCGACCCAAGUCGAUUCCCUCAGACAUGAUAAGAAAGAUAGACAAUAUGAUAAUCAUUAUUGAACCUGCUGGCACAAGCAAUAAAACCCUUUCUGUCAUUCUCUUUCUUUCAUUUUCCCUCCACUCCAAAGAUUUCAGGGUUUAUCGGUCCAGCAGUUUCGGCUAUGAAGCAAAGUGUGUAGUUCUUAUUAACUUUGCUGCAACACUGUGUUAUCAUAAGGAUUAUUGUUGCAAUUGAACACCAUACAUCAAUUUUUAUGAAAAAAACUUUUUUUCUCAGUUGGGUGCAUCUGGAUACUCCUGAAAUUUUGACAAAACAGUUGAAACUGAAGAUUUUAAAAGUGGCUGUUAUUCUGGGUCCAUCAGAAUUAUUGUUGAUUGACAGUUAUGACUGACAGGUUCCCUGCCUUAUAUAACAGUAUAAUGCCUUUUAGUGUACCCUGUGUAUGCUUAUAUGUGUGGGUGUGUGAACUUGGAUGUUGGCGCAUGUAUGAGUAAGUGCAAGUGACCAAAGUGUAAGUUAAAUGUUCCUGGAAUAACAUACAGGAUAGUUCAGUGGGUAGAACCAUUGGCUCAAAUAUCUGGAGUUCAUCCCACCUCUGCUUUGUUUGUCUGGUUAGCUGGCUCAUGGGAGACUUACUUACACAAAAAAACGUUCUGAGGGCAGAAUGAGAGAUGAUUGCUUCAGAGAGAUAAACAAGAUAAACAAUCAGACAUCUGAUUGGUUGGUCAUGCUUCCUCUAUUUGUUUGAAUCCAACUCCUCUACAAUCUGGUUAUCUCUCUGAACCAAUCAUUGUUUUUAUUCUGCCCUCAGAACAGUUUUGUGUAGGUAAAACUUCCACAAGCUGGAAGCUUCCUUACAUGUCUGUGUCAUGCAGGUUUCUGCUGAGCACUCCAGUUACCUCCCACAAUACAAAGACGUCUAGGUUAGGUUAAUACGUGCAUGAUCUUUAAAUUUCCCAUACGGUGUGCCUUUGCAAUGGACUGGCAUCUCAUCUAGGGUGCACCCCUGGCAAGUGACCUGGAUAGACUUCACUCCCCCCACACCAAUGAACAGGAAGAUAGAUAAAAGUACAUAUGAUUGUCAAUGGGCUCAUCUUAGUAGAAAAUAUGCAGGCAUAAUUUUGGGGAAUUGGGGAAGAAAACUGAAAAGAGUCUACUUUCUGUGGCUCAACAGUCUGAUACCACAGUUUCAAAAACACUCAUAAAAAACAAACAAUAUGUAUGACCUUUCUUGGAAGAAGAAUCCUUGCUAAGCAAUUCAUGAACAUUGCAUAUCAAUAAAUGGAUGAAGGAA